AUGGGGGUGUCAGGGCGCGAGCAGGCUCGCUCUUCACCCUUGAGGGAGAGGAGCGCAUUCGUGCGGCCUGGUACGACGCGCAUUUGUGGGGACACCGGGUGUGCAGAGAGGAGUGUUAAAGCAUUAUUUCGAGCUGUGCAGCUUAAACUCUGGUCAACGGGGGAGCAGAGAAGUCAAAGGCAUCGCUGUAGCAAGCAAGUUCUAAACCUCAAUCAUGUCAUUGAUCCACCCUCAAAUGCCCUUUCCUGCGAGUUCCUCGUGGCAAGAUGCAAGCGUGCAGCCUUGGUAGAUGAAAACGCGUGCAUCUGGAAUGCCUUACUGCUGAGAAUAAGGAGCUAUUUGUAUCCUGUCGAAUGUACAAUCCUGAACCAUCUAAGCUGCUUGUUUAAGGUAUGAUCUAGGGAAAGAAUUUGGCUGGG
rnacentral:lncRNA from 1 species